GACGAACGCUGGCGGCGUGCCUAACACAUGCAAGUCGAACGGAGAAUUUUAUUUCGGUAGAAUUCUUAGUGGCGAACGGGUGAGUAACGCGUAGGCAACCUACCCUUUAGACGGGGACAACAUUCCGAAAGGAGUGCUAAUACCGGAUGUGAUCAUCGUGCCGCAUGGCAGGAUGAAGAAAGAUGGCCUCUACAAGUAAGCUAUUGCUAAAGGAUGGGCCUGCGUCUGAUUAGCUAGUUGGUAGUGUAACGGACUACCAAGGCGAUGAUCAGUAGCCGGUCUGAGAGGAUGAACGGCCACAUUGGGACUGAGACACGGCCCAAACUCCUACGGGAGGCAGCAGUGGGGAAUCUUCCGCAAUGGACGAAAGUCUGACGGAGCAACGCCGCGUGAGUGAUGAAGGAUUUCGGUCUGUAAAGCUCUGUUGUUUAUGACGAACGUGCAGUGUGUGAACAAUGCAUUGCAAUGACGGUAGUAAACGAGGAAGCCACGGCUAACUACGUGCCAGCAGCCGCGGUAAUACGUAGGUGGCGAGCGUUGUCCGGAAUUAUUGGGCGUAAAGAGCAUGUAGGCGGCUUAAUAAGUCGAGCGUGAAAAUGCGGGGCUCAACCCCGUAUGGCGCUGGAAACUGUUAGGCUUGAGUGCAGGAGAGGAAAGGGGAAUUCCCAGUGUAGCGGUGAAAUGCGUAGAUAUUGGGAGGAACACCAGUGGCGAAGGCGCCUUUCUGGACUGUGUCUGACGCUGAGAUGCGAAAGCCAGGGUAGCGAACGAGAUUAGAUAGCCCGGUAGUCCUGGCCGUAAACG
rnacentral:rRNA from 1 species